rnacentral:rRNA from 1 species
GAUGAACGCUGGCGGCGUGCCUAAUACAUGCAAGUCGAGCGAACGGACGAGAAGCUUGCUUCUCUGAUGUUAGCGGCGGACGGGUGAGUAACACGUGGAUAACCUACCUAUAAUACUGGGAUAACUUCGGGAAACCGGAGCUAAUACCGGAUAAUAUUUUGAACCGCAUGGUUCAAAAGUGAAAGACGGUCUUGCUGUCACUUAUAGAUGGAUCCCCGCUGCAUUAGCUAGUUGGUAAGGUAACGGCUUACCGAGGCAACGAUGCAUAGCCGACCUGAGAGGGUGAUCGGCCACACUGGAGCUGAGACACGGUCCAGACUCCUACGGGAGGCAGCAGUAGGGAAUCUUCCGCAAUGGGCGAAAGCAUGACGGAGCAACGCGGCGUGAGUGAUGAAGGUCUUCGGAUCGUAAAACUCUGUUAUUAGGGAAGAACAUAUGUGUAAGUAACUGUGCACAUCUUGACGGUACCUAAUCAGAAAGCCACGGCUAACUACGUG